rnacentral:rRNA from 1 species
GAUGAACGCUGGCGGCGUGCCUAAUACAUGCAAGUCGAGCGAACAGAUGAGGAGCUUGCUCCUCUUACGUUAGCGGCGGACGGGUGAGUAACACGUGGAUAACCUACCUAUAAGACUGGGAUAACUUCGGGAAACCUGAGCUAAUACCGGAUAAUAUAUUGAACCGCAUGGUUCAAUAGUGAAAGACGGUUUUGCUGUCACUUAUAGAUGUAUCCGCGCCGCAUUAGCUAGUUGGUAAGGUAACGGCUUACCAAGGCAACGAUGCGUAGCCGACCUGAGAGGGUGAUCGGCCACACUGGAACUGAGACACGGUCCAGACUCCUACGGGAGGCAGCAGUAGGGAAUCUUCCGCAAUGGGCGAAAGCCUGACGGAGCAACGCCGCGUGAGUGAUGAAGGUCUUCGGAUCGUAAAACUCUGUUAUUAGGGAAGAACAAAUGUGUAAGUAACUAUGCACGUCUUGACGGUACCUAAUCAGAAAGCCACGGCUAACUACGUG